rnacentral:misc_RNA from 1 species
UCCGGUUUAACACCGGCAGUCUCCACAGAGUGCCCAACUGAAUGAUGGCAACUGAGGAUAAGGGUUGCGCUCGUUAAGGGACUUAACCCGACAUCUCACGAUACGAGCUGACGACAGCCAUGCAGCACCUGUCUCCCUGCCCCCGAAGGGGAAACCACAUUUCUGUGGCGGUCAGGGGAUGUCAAACCCAGGUAAGGUUCUUCGCGUUGCAUCGAAUUAAACCACAUGCUCCACCGCUUGUGCGGGCCCCCGUCAAUUCCUUUGAGUUUUAACCUUGCGGCCGUACUUCCCAGGCGGGGUACUUAAUGCGUUAGCGUCGACACUGCAGGGGUCAAUUCCCGCAACAUCUAGUACCCAUCGUUUACGGCGUGGACUAC